AAGUGGGGAUGACGUCAAGUCCUCAUGGCCUUUAUGUCUAGGGCUACACACGUACUACAAUGGCCGGUACAAAGGGCAGCCACUCAGCGAUGAGGCGCUAAUCCCAUAAAGCCGGUCUCAGUCCGGAUCGCAGUCUGCAACUCGACUCCAUGAAGUUGGAAUCGCUAGUAAUCGCGGAUCAGUACGCCGCGGUGAAUACGUUCCCGGGCCUU
rnacentral:rRNA from 1 species